rnacentral:sRNA from 1 species
GCCAGGCACGGUGGCGCAAGCUUGUAAUCCCAGCCGCUCAGGAGGCUGAGGCAGGAGGAUCCCGAGUUCAAAGCCAGCCUCAGCAACUUAGUGAGGCACUUAGCAACUGAGCAAGACCCUGUCUCUA